AUAAAGUUUAAUUCUAGCUUAAAGAUUUAUUUAAUUUUUUUUUUACAUGUAAAUUUUUGUAGGAUAUUAGUUAAAUUUUAAAAAUUUAAUUAAAAUGGUUUAUUCGCAGUAUUUAAUUUUAAUAAUUUAAGAAAUUAAGAAUUAGAAAUAAAUUUUAAUAUUAACAAAUUUUGUGCCAGCAGUUGCGGUUAUACAAAAGAUAUGAAUGAAUUUUAUUAGUAAAUAAUUAUAUGAAUUAUUGAUAAAUUAAAAUAGUAUUUAUUAGGUGAAAUUUUAAGUAUUAAAUUAAUUUAUAAAAAAGUUUUUAUUAUUAUGAAAUUUAUAUUUAAACUAGGAUUAGAUACCCUAUUAUUUUAAAUGUAAAAAGUUUUACUUAAGUAGUAUUAGUUAUGUUCUUGAAAUUUAAAGAUUUUGGCGGUAUUUUAGUCUAUUUAGAGGAACCUGUUCUGUAAUUGAUAAUCCACGAUUAACUUUACUUAUUUUAUAAAUUUGUAUACCGUCGUUAUUAGAAAAUUUUAGCAGAAAAUAAAUUUUUAAUAUUUUAAAUUAAAAAAUAUAUCAGAUCAAGGUGCAGUAUAUAUUUAAGAAGAAAUGGGUUACAAUAAAUUUAUUUAUAUGGAUUAAAGUAAGAAUAAACUUUAUGAAAGUGGAUUUAAUAGUAAUAAAAUUUAAUUAAAUUUUAUGAUUUUAGCUCUAAAAUAUGUACAUAUCGCCCGUCGCUCUUAUUAUAAGGUAAGAUAAGUCGUAACAUAGUAGAUGUACUGGAAAGUGUAUCUAGAAUGAA
rnacentral:ncRNA from 1 species